UACGGAAGGCAGCAGGGGGGAAUAUUGCACAAUGGGCGCAAGCCUGAUGCAGCCAUGCCGCGUGUAUGAAGAAGGCCUUCGGGUUGUAAAGUACUUUCAGUCGUGAGGAAGGUGUUAAGGUUAAUAACCUUAGCAAUUGACGUUAGCGACAGAAGAAGCACCGGCUAACUCCGUGCCAGCAGCCGCGGUAAUACGGAGGGUGCGAGCGUUAAUCGGAAUUACUGGGCGUAAAGGGCACGCAGGCGGUUAAUUAAGUUGGAUGUGAAAUCCCCGGGCUUAACCUGGGAAUGGCAUUCAAGACUGGUUAGCUAGAGUCUUGUAGAGGGGGUUAGAAUUCCAUGUGUAGCGGUGAAAUGCGUAGAGAUGUGGAGGAAUACCGGUGGCGAAGGCGGCCCCUGGACAAAGACUGACGCUCAUGUGCGAAAGCGUGGGGAGCAAACAGGGAUUAGAUACCCGU
rnacentral:rRNA from 1 species